UUACAAAGUGACCCCAAAAGUUUUGCAAUAUAGCCCAAAAGUUGAGGUUAAUUGCUUUAUGGCCCAAAAAGUUGUGGUUAUUGCAUAUUGGCCCAAAUUAAGUAGAGAACAAAAUUGUUUUGUCUCUUUAAAUGAGAAUUGGAUUUUCAUUUUGUUUAGCUCCAUUUAAAUCAAUUUUAUGGAUACAAAGACCAAAUGAAAAUGUUGCAUUCUAUUUAAUUGGUUAAAGCGUUAAUUGAUUAAAGAAAGGGUGAUUAUGAACCUAAGCCUAAUAUAAUUGAGCUAUGUGAAAGGCCGUUUCAAAUUUUUUUGAACCAUGGGAAUGUGUAGAUUAGAUUUUGGUUGUAAUUUGAUUUGAUCAAAUGUUGUAAAAGGGCAUAAGCCCUUCUUUACUUUAAGGUAAUUUGUUUUAUGCAAAUGUUGUAAUGAGCAUAAGCUCACCUUUACUUUGAAGUACUUCUUUCUUGCUUUAUAUGAUAUGCAUGAAAAUGAAGUAGUUGGGUCCGACGCCCCUAAGACAACACGCCUUAAUAUGAUUAAACGCGUAACUAAAAUCAAUCUCCAUCCCUAGACCGAGAUUCAACACAAGGCUCGUGUUGAAUCUAUACAAAGGUUCAUAGCAACUAUAUAGUCCAUCAAAUGAAUGCAAAGGUUAUGUUAGUAGUAUCAUAUACUCUUGCUUUAAAAACGUUUUAUAAGCAUAGUGGGAGUAUUAUAUACAACUAAAAACAAUCAUAUGGACCAAUAGUUGUAAUAGGACCAAAAUUGUUUUAAUAGAGAUUAAAAUGAAUGUUUAUAUGUGAUGAGACCUAAAACCCUCAACCAAACCAUUAUUAAGUUGAUAAGCGUGAGAGUGCUUUGAACACUCUUUCGUGGCCUUCCACCGUGGUAGGCUCCAAUCGUAUGUGACUCGUACACCGGCUUCACCCUAUAAUGGGGGAGUACAAAGUGCGUGCUUACACUCAGGAGGAGUUCUAUAUACAUACAUGAUGAAGUGAGGUAGGCAACGAGUUUAGCCAACAUGAUAUAAUUCUGAGGCUAUGCUUGAACCCCUACACGAACUAGGCAUGGUGGGAAUGACUUAACUAAGUGCAAUGACGCCAACAUGAUAUAAUUCUGAGGCAUCAUUCUCUAGAGGCCAAAUUAGAUGGGUACUUGCAAGAGAUGCAAAUGAGUAAGCGUACUCUCUCAUUAUUAUUAACGCUAGCCAACAUGAUAUAAUUCUGAGGUGGGCUUGGUAAUAGUGAGCCUCCCAUAACCUACUAAGAGUUUCAUCCAAAACUCUCGAAUUCCAAUGAGGGAUAUGGAAUUUGCCUAAAAAUAGUGGGUGGUGCUAUUUUGAUUUAAAAACCCGAAUCAAAUGGCUUAAAAUCAAUCAAUUUAUAUUCGUUAUGUAUUUGUUUACCAAUAUAUUUGCAAACGCUAUCCAACACUUGACAAAUAAAAGCCGAAAGCUUUAGUUUCCGGACUUGGUACUACAAAACCAUAGAUUGUCUUCAAUGGCUUGUAAAUGUACCUAAGUAGUCUCUUCCUCACAAUCUUCCUAUUGAUAAUGUAUCAUUAGAAGAAUAUGUUAGAAAAAGUCUAUCAUAAAGAGGACAACACUUUUAAUGUCAUAAUUCUUCAAAUACAAUUUGUUGUAUGAAGAAAUAGGAGUUGCUUUGAACAACUCUUAGUCAAUGCAAACACUUAGUGCUUGUUUCUUUGUUAUAUGAACAAAGAACUUGAGAAGAAAGCACAAAGGCAUGGACACUUAAUGUGCCAUGAUUCUUCACUUACAAAUUGUUGUAUGAAGAAAUGAGAGUUGCCUUGAACAACUCUUGAAAGUUUGUAAUUAUGUUUAGAACAUAAUGGUUGGUUGACAAAAAUAGUCCAUCAACAUGGACUUAUGAUGAUUUUGAAUCAUUGAGUGUUGAAGUGAUAAAUCACUUAACGAGACGGAAACUAGGCAAGGACUUCACCUAUGUGCCCUAUCCUUAAUGGUUCACUAAGUUUAUUGUAAACUAUGUAGUGAACAAUAACCACAUGCUCUCCAAAUUGUUUGAUGUGUAUAACACAAUUGAAAUAAGUUUCAAGAGAGAUAGUGGGAGUUUAGGGACC
rnacentral:lncRNA from 1 species